GAGACAAUCCUCCUGUGUCCUCUGUAAAGACACCUUCCAGUUUUGUCCUCAUCUCCUUCCUCAAUGGGUGGAUCAGUUUACAGCAUCUAAGACAUGCCAAAGACUGCAGCACCAACUGAACUGUCUAACACCAUUAGACCUCAUAGAGACACAUUUUACUUCCUGGCUGUCCGAGUCAUCUUUAAAGCACAGGAUGAGAAAACACCUGCUGGUCUUUGCCUCACUUUUUCUCUGACUCUGAGAUUCUGGAUCAGCUCAUACCGAACAAGACAUCAUGCCACCACAGAGCAGAUGUUGGAGCACUAUCUUAACUGUCAGUGGACACCUCACGGCUGGACCACAGAGACACGUGUUCUCUCUGUCAGUUUCGAGUUUUUUUCACAACAGAUAAUAAGCUCCUUCUCCUCUGUGAUUUCUCCACUUCACAAUGAAGACACUCAGGACUGCAGAAAGGGCUAAACACACAAAUGAAGAUCAUGCAGCGUAUUCAGUUGCACUGGCGAUACAAGUUGUUCUGCCCUGCAGCCCGAGUUCAAGGACCAGCAUUGUCCUCCUACCCCCCUGUCUCCAUUUGUGCAUCCAUUGGUGCCCACUGGUCCGUUCAGCAGAGACUAACAGUUGGUUCUUAAGCAAGAGAUCAUGUGUGCAACUGCAAUGAAACAGCUGCAGAUGAGUCUUCAGUCAGUCAUCACUGUCACAGCCCCAAUUUUGUGAAGCAUUAAGCUCCUUCCUAAACCAGCAGUAACGGUAACAAUUUGUUAAUAUAUCCUUUUUAAAAUAUAUCUCUGGUAGUCUUACUACUUGCAUGUGCUAUUUACAUUUUUAACUACAUGAAUGAAGCUUCUCCUGUUUUUGUCUUUAAGGCCUCUCCUCCUCCAUGUUGCUAUAGAAACACUAUCCUUGCACUAAGCAAUGACAUAAUAACUGGUGUAGUGGUUCAGGUCAAAGGUCACAAUACUACAGGUCUUUACAGCGUACAAAACAAAUUCAAGAAAAGUAUGGUUAUCUCUAAAAACUACAGGACACCUGUCUAUUUUGUUUGUUUCAUUUGAUCUAACAAUGUAUGUUUUCUUUGUUUCAUCACUUUUUUUUUGUUGAUUGUAUUUAUUCAUUUAUGUCAUCCAUCCCUCUUCAGUCAAUAUUCUAACAGAUAUAUGCAAGAUGAAUAGUGGAAAUGUGUUAUUGCAAUUGCUACGUGUAUAUGAACAAAUUAACCUUAAGAAAUUCCAUAUUUGUAUUAAAUGAGUCAUUAUUAUGGGGUUUCAGCUGGUAGGUACAUAGGAGGUUCUUCACAGGCAUAUACCAAUCCUUAGGGUAACCUAAACUCUACUGUAAAGAUGAGUAUUCAAACCCAGUGUUAAAUUAUCAAAAUGGGUAAUCCAAGCUAAAUCUUCCAAAUUGGCUUGAAAAUAACUUGGUUCAAAGAGUUUUGUAAAAAUAUUUAAUUUGAAGCAAAUCCUAUCAUGCUCAUGUUCUAACCUUGAGUAGUGAUUCUAACCAAAUGUUCCAUCAAAAUAAGGAAGUGGAAGUGUUUUGGUGAGCCUCAGUAAACUGAGCUUAGCGUUGGGAUAGUUUAAAUGACAAUUUGGACCAGACGUAUCAGUCCGGGCUACUGGAACAUGAAGACUUGAACUUCUGUGAGUAUUAACCUAGGUCUGGUAACAAUGUAAAAAGCCUGUGUUUGAAAUAAAGAAUACUGCAAACCAUUGGAAAUGGAAUAUUUUGUGUUAUCAUUUAUU